rnacentral:misc_RNA from 1 species
UUUCCGUAGGUGAACCUGCGGAAGGAUCAUUACCGAGCGAGGGCCCUCUGGGUCCAACCUCCCACCCGUGUUUAUCGUACCUUGUUGCUUCGGCGGGCCCGCCUCACGGCCGCCGGGGGGCACCCGCCCCCGGGCCCGCGCCCGCCGAAGACACCAUUGAACGCUGUCUGAAGAUUGCAGUCUGAGCAUCUUAGCUAAAUCAGUUAAAACUUUCAACAACGGAUCUCUUGGUUCCG